UACGUAGGGACCGAGCGUUGUCCGGAAUCAUUGGGCGUAAAGCGCGUGUAGGCGGCCAGGUAGGUCGGUUGUGAAAAUUGGAGGCUCAACCUCCAGACGUCGAUCGAAACCAUCUGGCUAGAGUCCGGAAGAGGAGAAUGGAAUUCCUGGUGUAGCGGUGAAAUGCGCAGAUAUCAGGAAGAACACCGAUGGCGAAGGCAGUUCUCUGGGACGGUACUGACGCUGAGACGCGAAAGCGUGGGGAGCGAACAGG
rnacentral:rRNA from 1 species